CCUACGGGAGGCAGCAGUAGGGAAUAUUGCUCAAGGGGGGAAACCCUGAAGCAGCAACGCCGCGUGGAGGAUGAAGGUUUUCGGAUGGUAAACUCCUGUUGUUAGAGAAGGUAAUGACGGUAUCUAACGAAUAAGCACCGUCUAACUCCGUGCCAGCAGCCGCGGUAAUAAGGAGGGUGCAAGCGUUACUCGGAAUCACUGGGCGUAAAGAGCGCGUAGGCGGUAUAGCAAGUCAGAUGUGAAAUCCUAUGGCUUAACAAUAGAACUUCAUUUGAAACUGUUAUUCUAGAGUAUGGGAGAGGUAGGUGGAAUUCUUGGUGUAGGGGUAAUAUCCGUAGAGAUCAAGAGGAAUACUCAUUGCGAAGGCGACCUGCUAGAACAUAACUGACGCUGAUGCGCGAAAGCGUGGGGAGCAAACAGGAUUAGAUAACUGGGUAGUC
rnacentral:rRNA from 1 species